AAUCUUAGAAUAAAAUAAUGUGUCAAAGUGAAUAAAUUCAAUCAAUUGUAGGUAAAUUGGCAAGAGUGAUUAUGAUUCUUUUAAGGUAGUUAAAUGCCUCAUCAUCUAAUUAGUGACAUGUAUGAAUAGAU
rnacentral:ncRNA from 1 species